AGGAUGAACGCUGGCGGCGUGCCUAAAACAUGCAAGUCGAGCGGUAAGGCCCUUUCGGGGGUACACGAGCGGCGGACGGGUGAGUAACGCGUGGGAAUCUACCCCAAACUGAGGGAUAAGCACUGGAAACGGUGUCUAAUACCGCAUAUGGUCUUCGGAUUAAAGCUUCGGCGGUUUGGGAAGAGCCCGCGUAAGAUUAGCUAGUUGGUGAGGUAAAGGCUCACCAAGGCUACGAUCUUUAGCUGGUUUGAGAGGAUGAUCAGCCACACUGGAACUGAGACACGGUCCAGACUCCUACGGGAGGCAGCAGUGGGGAAUAUUGCGCAAUGGGCGGAAGCCUGACGCAGCGACGCCGCGUGAGGGAUGAAGGUCUUCGGAUUGUAAACCUCUUUCAGUAGGGACGAAUUAAGACGGUACCUGCAGAAGAAGCACCGGCUAACUACGUGCCAGCAGCCGC
rnacentral:rRNA from 1 species